UCCUUCAUAGCUCAGUCACUAAAGCAUCUGUCUGCAAUGCAGGAGACCUGGGUUCAAUUCCUGGGUCAGGAA
rnacentral:tRNA from 1 species